AACAUUUAGCAGAGACUAUUGAAGCCACCUGGUCCCAGGAGACCCCAGAAGGCGGCCACAUUCCCUGGUGCUGGGGCAAGGUCAUUAAGGGUGAAGCCUGGUGCCAGAUGUGU
rnacentral:rRNA from 1 species